rnacentral:rRNA from 1 species
GACGAACGCUGGCGGCGUGCUUAACACAUGCAAGUCGAGCGGAGCGGCGAACGGGUGAGUAACGCGUGAGUAACUGCCCCCCUCUCUGGGAUAACACUGGGAAACCAGUGCUAAUACCGCAUAGUGAAAGAUGCCUCGCGCCUGAUUAGCUAGUAGGUGAGGUAACGGCUCACCUAGGUGAUGAUCAGUAGCCGGACUGAGAGGUUGAUCGGCCGCAUUGGGCUGAGAUACGGCCCAAACUCCUACGGGAGGCAGCAGUGGGGAAUAUUGCACAAUGGGGGAAACCCUGAUGCAGCAACGCGCGUGCGGGAUGACGGCCUUCGGGUUGUAAACCGCUUUCAGCCAUGACGCGGUAGUGGCAGAAGAAGCACCGGCUAACUACGUGCCAGCAGCCGCGGUAAUUC